CCUACGGGAGGCAGCAGUGGGGAAUAUUGCACAAUGGGGGAAACCCUGAUGCAGCGACGCCGCGUGAGUGAAGAAGUAAUUCGUUAUGUAAAGCUCUAUCAGCAGGGAAGAAAAUGACGGUACCUGAGUAAGAAGCCCCGGCUAACUACGUGCCAGCAGCCGCGGUAAUACGUAGGGGGCAAGCGUUAUCCGGAUUUACUGGGUGGAAAGGGAGCGUAGACGGCAGUGCAAGUCUGGAGUGAAAGGCGGGGGCUCAACCCCCGGACUGCUCUGGAAACUGUACGGCUGGAGUGCAGGAGAGGUAAGUGGAAUUCCUAGUGGAGCGGUGAAAUGCGUAGAUAUUAGGAGGAACACCAGUGGCGAAGGCGGCUUACUGGACUGUAACUGACGUUGAGGCUCGAAAGCGUGGGGAGCAAACAGGAUUAGAUACCCUAGUAGUC
rnacentral:rRNA from 1 species